UGUUGAAUCUUCUUUUAAUCUUUUCCUCUUUCCUUUUAAAGUGUUAAAUAUCAUCCUGGAAUGAUUUUAAACUUUUCACCACAGUCCUCUCUUUAUGUCUGCAGACCUUCUGGUUCUGGUCUCAUCCUGAUCUGGUUCUGGUCUGAUCCAGACCUGGUUCUGGUCUGGUUCUGGUCUGGUCCAGGUUUGGUUCUGGUCUGAUCCAGUGUUCCUCCUGACUGCCUAACAUGUGAUCUGAAGUCACAUGCUUGCUGACUCUCAUCCGGGUUCUGGUUGAUCGGACUCCUUGUGGACCGCGUAGGACCAAGCAGAGGUUCUGUGUGUUACUUGAUCCAAAGCUGCAUCCUUGUGGUUCUGGUCCUCUGGUCAAAGGAACCGGUCCUGACAGUCAAAUCUUGACAGGUCCCCCCCCUCACAAGCUCAAACUAAAGUGAUGCCCCCCCCCAUGUGAAAGUCCCAAAAGUGAGCCGGUUGCAGACAUUUUCCUGAGAACAAACGCCUCCUGGUCUCUGGCUGUGUGGUUGCCAUGACAGCGGCGCAUGCGGCUAAAAUAAGGUCUGCUCUUCACACACAAGACGUCUCCAUCUUCCUCCUGAGAGGCGCAGAUUCGUGUCCCCACAACAGCCGUCCUGCACCUCGGCGCUCUGCUCGCUCUGACCUCCACGUCUCCCCUCUGCUCCUGCAGGAGCGCCUCAAUCACCAGCUAAGAGAGGAGAGGAGGUGGGAGGAGGAGGGGGAGACAAGGAGGGGGACGGUUUCUGUGAAACUGAGAAGAAAGUGGGCCACUCUGGCUUAUUCAUUGAAAUCACAAACUCCGCUCCCACCAUGAAGGAGAAAGGACAGGAGGCAGGUGAGGCGGCGCUCCCACUCACCUGGAGCAGCUCCGGGUCAGAGGUGGAGAUCAGAACAGGUGUGGAGCCCGUUAAGCAACGGUUAUGAAAGGAACUUCACCCAAAUCUUUUGUUGGGAGAUUUCACUGGAAACAUGUUGAUGCAACAGAUGAAGGAGCAAUCCACUAGAUUGUACAGGUGAAGGUACCGUCAUGAUUUCAAGGUUUUUGGAUUCCUCAGCGGCCUGACGGUUCUCCAGAACAUCCCACAAGACCGUCCAGAGCUGAUGGACGUUCUGCAGCUACAGGUUGAGGCUGGUGCCCCCUGCUGGCACAGACUGGAUACUGUCGUGACUGUAAGACUGCGUUUAUACUGAAACGUUCAUGAAAGUCAGCGGGCAGCUGUAAUUCAGAAGGUCACAGGUUUGAUUCCCGCUUUGGCUGGCUUUGUGUUGAAGUGCCCUUGGGCCAGACGUUAACCCACAUUGCCCCUGGUGGUCAGUGUGUGAACAGACGGAAUUUGUGCCUGUUGAGAGCUGUGUCCCAAUUACUGUUUACAAGUACAUCUAUUAGUACAUAGCAGUUUCCUUUAGUAUGUAAAAGUAUCUAUAUUAGUAUGGAAAACAAUAUAAGUAAAAGAAAUCAAAAGUAUAUAUGUUAGUAUAUGCAACAUAGAUUAAAAUAUAAAUAUUCUAUGAAAUAUCUGAACACAUUUUUAUUCAUUCAUGAAUUUCAUUCAUUAGUAUAUGACGGUGUGUAUAAAAGUAUUGGCUGGGAUUUAGUGAGCACCUAAAGCGACCUGAGGAUCUGCUGCUCAGGAUUCAGAGAAAGUUGAUCAGAAAUGUGCUCGUCAAUCAGAAGAUCCACUCUGGAAAUAUACUUUAUGAUUUAGAGAUUCAGGAAGGUCAAACCAUUUUCAAUCAAAUUUAAAAUGAUGAAACUUCCAGUAAUAUGAGGACUACUUAAAGUUACUUGAGUAAACGUGGUUUAGGAGAAUCUUUAGAAACUCAGCAGCUCAUAAAGACCGUUAAAGUUUUUUUCUGCAGUUACAGUUUAGCUGAACUUUCAUUAAAUCUGUCUGGGAUCAGACUAAUUCCUGGUGAAACCACCAAAACCUUCAGAGUAUCGUCUGAGAAAACGACGCAGAGAGUUCAGAGUUCAGAACUUUAUUGUUCCACGAGGAGUUCAGUGGUCCGAGUGUAACAUGGUUCAGAGCGGGGGGUGUAAACGCUGUUUGGGAAUGUAACAUGAAGCAGAGAUCCGGGUCAAGUUCUGAGGCAGAACAGAAGAUAGGCCGAGCCCAGACG